GACGAACGCUGGCGGCGUGCUUAACACAUGCAAGUCGAACGGAAAGGCCCUGCUUUUGUGGGUUGCUCGAGUGGCGAACGGGUGAGUAACACGUGAGUAACCUGCCCCUGACUUUGGGAUAACUUCAGGAAACUGUGGCUAAUACCGGCUAGGAGCUCCUGCUGCAUGGUUGGGGUUGAAAAGUUUCGGCGGUUGGGGAUGGACUCGCGGCGUAUCAGCUUGUUGGUGGGGUAGUGGCUUACCAAGGCUUUGACGGGUAGCCGGCCUGAGAGGGUGACCGGACACAUUGGGACUGAGAUACGGCCCAGACUCCUACGGGAGGCAGCAGUGGGGAAUAUUGCACAAUGGGAGGAAGGCUGAUGCAGCAACGCCGCGUGCGGGAUGACGGCCUUCGGGUUGUAAACCGCUUUCGCCUGUGACGAAGAGUGAGUGACGGUAAUGGGUAAAGAAGCACCGGCUAACUACGUG
rnacentral:rRNA from 1 species